rnacentral:tRNA from 1 species
AAGGGUAUAGCUCAGUGGUAGAGUAUAUGCCUGGAAUGCCAGAGGUCCUGGGCUCAAUCCCCAGUACCUCCA